ACGCUAAUACCGCAUAUUCUGUGAGCAGGAAANCGAGGGGAUCGCAAGACCUUGCGCUGAUUGAGCGGCCGAUAUCAGAUUAGCUAGUUGGUGAGGUAAAGGCUCACCAAGGCGACGAUCUGUAGCGGGUCUGAGAGGAUGAUCCGCCACACUGGAACUGAGACACGGUCCAGACUCCUACGGGGAGGCAGCAGUGGGGAAUUUUUGGGACAAUGGGCGCAAGCCUGAUCCAGCCAUGCCGCGUGAGUGAAGAAGGCCUUCGGGUUGUAAAGCUCUUUCGGCCGGGAAGAAAUCGCACAGGUUAAUACCCUGUGUGGAUGACGGUACCGGAAUAAGAAGCACCGGCUAACUACGUG
rnacentral:rRNA from 1 species